rnacentral:sRNA from 1 species
AGCCUAAACCUUUAGAAAUAGAGGCAUGGUGAAUAAAGUCUAGUGAAGCUUAAAGAACCCAUCAUGGGGUCGCUUCACUAGCCAUAUAGGGAAACCUAUAUGAGAGACUUAGGUCUCU